rnacentral:lncRNA from 1 species
CACUGUUGUCAUUAUGGAAUUAAGAUUAAGUACAUACGGAACAAAUAUUAUUUCUAGUUUAUCCUGCAUAAUGACGAUCAUUAAGACUAUUGGUGAACGUUUAUAGUGCAGGGAUAUAGGCGAUUUUCUCUAUCUGGUAAAUGACGUCAUAAAGGCGCGCAUAAUUGCCGAAUUUUUUCCGGUGACGGACAAACUCGAAAGUGGUCUAUUAAAUUGACACCGCUAUUUCAAUCGCUAUUAAUCAUUCUUUAUAGUUGUGUGAAGUUUACAAGUCUAUCAAGGAAAAUGUAGAGGUUCAUCACUAUGUGUUAUGUCAUUACCGUUGGAGAGAUGUGAUGGAUUUGUGAUUUUAAAAACUCCAUAUUUUGAGAAUGAUACUUAUGUGAUAGAUAUAUGUGGGAUUCAAAGUUUUGUAGUGCAUUCCGAUUCUUUAAUGAGACAUAUAAAAUCAAUAUUGUUUAAGAUGCGUUGUGUGCUGGAACAACACUAUAGUUGUCGUGAAGAUGAAGAUGAAGCAUUCAUAUUCUCUGGCAUUUUUAAAGGAUAAGAAAUCUGCGUGCUCAUCGUUAAUCAUAGAUCUGAACGUGCUUCUGAAAAAUCACCGGUCAGCUUUGAUCCAUUUAGAGAAAGUAUUCAAUUUGAGAUCAUCUUACCGCACUUGACUCAUUUGCCUGCAUAGUCAGCAACUGCCACCAUUGGAAACUUGAAUUUCUUCUUUUGGAUGAGCUUUAUUUCG